rnacentral:lncRNA from 1 species
GUGCACACUUGUCAAAUCUAGCACUAGGCAGCUCAGAGAGAGACCUUAGGUCGAGAGGAUCAUACUUCGUUUUGGAAAGUUCGUGAUUCGACAAAGUGUUUGUCAUAUUUAGACACCAGAUGCUGGCACCGGACGCGACAGUGGGACUGUUUGCGCAUCCGGUGUGUGUGCAGAUGAUGAGCUAGUGUGCCACGUGUCUA